rnacentral:rRNA from 1 species
GUCUACGGCCAUACCACUCUGAACAUGCCUGAUCUCGUCUGGUCUCGGAAGCUAAGCAGGAUCAGGUCUGGUUAGUACCGGGAUGGGAGACAAUGAAAACCUAAUAUGAGAUUCAGACAUCCCUGCUCA